GGGCGUGUAGCUCAGUUGGUUAGAGCGCGCGCUUGAUAAGCGUGAGGUCGGAGGUUCAAGUCCUCCCUCGCCCACCA
rnacentral:tRNA from 4 species